GACGAACGCUGGCGGCAUGCCUAAUACAUGCAAGUCGAGCGAACAGAUGAAGUGCUUGCACUUCUGACGUUAGCGGCGAACGGGUGAGUAACACGUAAGGAAUCUACCUAUAAGCGGGGGAUAACAUUCGGAAACGGGUGCUAAUACCGCAUAAUAUCUUCUUCCGCAUGGAAGAAGAUUGAAAGACGGCUCUGCUGUCACUUAUAGAUGACCUUGCGGUGCAUUAGUUAGUUGGUGGGGUAACGGCCUACCAAGACGAUGAUGCAUAGCCGACCUGCGGGGGUGAUAGGCAAAAUGUGGACUGGCACACGGCCCAACCUCCUACGGGAGGCAGCAGUAGGGAAUCUUCCGCAAGGGACGAAAGCCUGACGGAGCAAUGCCGCGUGAGUGAAGAAGGCCUUCGGGUCGUAAAACUCUGUUAUAAGAGAAGAACAAAUUGUAGAGUAACUGCUACAGUCUUGACGGUAUCUUAUCAGAAAGCCACGGCUAACUACGUGCCAGCCGCCGCCGUAA
rnacentral:rRNA from 1 species